CUUCUCUUCCUCCUCCUCCUCCUCCUCCUCUUUGUUUUCUUCUUGUUUUUAACGCUCGCCCGGCCCCCUCUCCUCAUCCUCUCUCGGUUGAGCCCCAUCCCUAGCCCCGAUCGGCGAUCGACGAUUCCGCUUCUCCGCCGCCGUCGACCUCGCCGCCGUCUGAGGUAACAAUAUGCCCCGAGGGAGACGAUUUAGAGAUGUGGAGUUCCAGCAUUCUCAGGUGGGAUCUACUUCUGAUCAGUCCCAGCAGUCAUGUGAGCACCAGCAGCAUGAGUCAGAAUCUCAGCGCGAGCCUCCUGCUGAUUGUCCGGAGGAUGAGCUCCGGAUCCAGGAUGGACAAGGGACGGUGAGGACGAGACGGGGACCCACCCAAGCAAAGGAUGUGUGGA